rnacentral:rRNA from 1 species
AACGAACGCUGGCGGCAUGCCUAACACAUGCAAGUCGAACGAGACCUUCGGGUCUAGUGGCGCACGGGUGCGUAACGCGUGGGAACCUGCCUUUAGGUUCGGAAUAACUCAGAGAAAUUUGAGCUAAUACCGGAUGAUGUCUUCGGACCAAAGAUUUAUCGCCUUUAGAUGGGCCCGCGUUGGAUUAGCUAGUUGGUGGGGUAAAGGCCUACCAAGGCGACGAUCCAUAGCUGGUCUGAGAGGGUGAUCAGCCACACUGGGACUGAGACACGGCCCAGACUCCUACGGGAGGCAGCAGUGGGGAAUAUUGGACAAUGGGCGAAAGCCUGAUCCAGCAAUGCCGCGUGAGUGAUGAAGGCCUUAGGGUUGUAAAGCUCUUUUACCCGAGAUGAUAAUGACAGUAUCGGGAGAAUAAGCUCCGGCUAACUCCGUG